GAUGAACGCUAGCUGCAGGCUUAACACAUGCAAGUCGCGGGGCAGCAUGGGGGUUGCUUGCAACCCCUGAUGGCGACCGGCGCACGGGUGAGUAACGCGUAUCCAACCUGCCCUUCACCACGGGAUAACCCGGCGAAAGUCGGACUAAUACCGUAUGUUGUCCAUUGACGGCAUCCGAUUUGGACGCAAGGUUUGGCGGUGAAAGGAUGGGGAUGCGUCCGACUGGCUUGACGGCGGGGUAACGGCCAACCGUGGCUACGAUCGGGAGGGGAUCUGAGAGGAAGGUCCCCCACACUGGAACUGAGACACAGUCCAGACUCCUACGGAGGGCAGCAGUGAGGAAUAUUGGUCAAGGGGCGUAAGCCUGAACCAGCCAAGUAGCGGGCAGGAUGACGGCGCUAUGAGUUGUAAGCUGCUUUUAAGCGGGGAUAAAGUGGCCCACGUGUGGGCUUUUGCAGGUACCGAAUGAAUAAGAACCGGCUAAUUCCGUG
rnacentral:rRNA from 1 species